AUUGAACGCUGGCGGCAUGCCUUACACAUGCAAGUCGAACGGUAACAGGUCUUCGGAUGCUGACGAGUGGCGAACGGGUGAGUAAUACAUCGGAACGUGCCCAGUAAUGGGGGAUAGCCCGGCGAAAGCCGGAUUAAUACCGCAUACGCCCUGAGGGGGAAAGUGGGGGACCGCAAGGCCUCACGGUAUUGGAGCGGGCGAUGGCUGAUUAGCUAGUUGGUGAGGUAAAGGCUCACCAAGGCGACGAUCAGUAGCUGGUCUGAGAGGACGAUCAGCCACACUGGGACUGAGACACGGCCCAGACUCCUACGGGAGGCAGCAGUGGGGAAUUUUGGACAAUGGGGGAAACCCUGAUCCAGCAAUGCCGCGUGUGCGAAGAAGGCCUUCGGGUUGUAAAGCACUUUUGUCAGGGAAGAAAUCCUUUGGGCUAAUACCCUAGGGGGAUGACGGUACCUGAAGAAUAAGCACCGGCUAACUACGUGCCAGCAGCCGCAGUAAUAC
rnacentral:rRNA from 1 species